GGACUCUGGCGAACAACAACAAAACUCAACAACAACAACAACAAAACUCAACAACAACAACAACAACAAAAGAAACAUGAUAAAAUUUUGUGCUCUUAAGGGAAAGGAAUUUGACAUUUCAUGACCUACUGACUCGUAUUCAAGAUUUCGAAAAGAAGAAACAGUGGUGAGCUGAAUACUUCCCUGGAUUCUGAUGAGAAGUUCUUUGGAAGUUUUAUAAUUCCUGAGUUUUAAAUCCUUGAAAAUUAACUUUAUUGAUCAUUUAACUAAGAUUGGAUGGUGAAAAAGUCUGGUUCCUCUUGUUCUCUGGAGAAGUUGUUGGAUCUGAAGAGGCUCAUAGUGUACAUUG